CCGUGAUGAUGGUGGUGAUGGUGGUGAUGGUGGUGGUGGUGAUGGUGGUGAUGGUGACCAUCACCCACCAUCACCACCAUCACCACCAUCAUCACGGGUU
rnacentral:pre_miRNA from 1 species